UACGGAGGGGGCGAGCGUUAUUCGGAAUUAUUGGGCGUAAAGGGCGCGUAGGCGGCCUUGUAAGUCAAAGGUGAAAUCCCUCGGCUCAACUGAGGAACUGCCUUUGAAACUGCAAGCUUGAGGCCGGGAGGGGGUAGCGGAAUUCCCAAUGUAGCGGUGAAAUGCGUAGAUAUUGGGAGGAACACCAGUGGCGAAGGCGGCUACCUGGACCGGUUCUGGACGCUGAGGCGCGAAAGCGUGGGUAGCAACAGGA
rnacentral:rRNA from 1 species